GGGCCCGCACAAGCGGUGGAGCAUGUGGUUUAAUUCGAUGCAACGCGAAGAACCUUACCAAGACUUGACAUAUCGCGAAUUUUUUUGAAAGAAAAAAGUGCCUUCGGGAAUGCGAAUACAGGUGGUGCAUGGCUGUCGUCAGCUCGUGCCGUGAGGUGUUGGGUUAAGUCCCGUAACGAGCGCAACCCUUAUUUUUAAUUGCUAAUUUUUUAGGUUUUUAAAGAGACUGCCAGUAACAAACUGGAGGAAGGUGAGGAUGACGUCAAGUCAGUAUGCCCCUUAUGUUUUGGGCUACACACGUGCUACAAUGGCUAGGACAAAGAGUUGCAAGUUUGUACACACCGCCCG
rnacentral:rRNA from 1 species